GGGGCGGGUAUUAUGGAUGCCAAGAGGAGGAUUUCUCUCAUAUUAGCCUUAAGCUACAGGGAAUGCCAAAACUGGGGCAGUGAGCAAAGCCAAAAACUGAGUGGAAAACUUAGAUCGAGUAGGUCAAAAAGAAGCAUCCAACCAAUUGUCAAAACCUCAGUGCCAGCAGCAGGCACUACAUGCCGGAGUCAAGUCAGGACUAAAAGCCAGCAGAGGAGGACUGGCAGUGACCCUGAAACACAUCAAGUGGUUUAGAGACAUCUGCCUAGACAUCCUGUCCUACAACUUUCUUUACAUGGGCCAAUGUAGCAUGCUGUGUGAACAAACCAUUCAAAUGCAAAAGCCAAGGGACAGACAUAAAAAUUGAUACCUGUUUCAGAGAGUUUUUUUACUUUCAUUUCUGAAACCCCGGCACUUUGCUUGGAACAUAGUAGGCUCUCAGUAAAGAUCUGAUGAAUGAAUAUGUCAAUGAACCAGAGUAGCAGAAAAUGUUUUGGAAGCAAUCUGAAUUCCUAUGAAUUCUGAAGACCAGUGGGGGCUCAAAAUAGUUCUACCCAGGGGGGCUGGGGAUUCCAACCUUUCUGGCUACGAUGUCAGGGUAAUGUGCACUCCACAGAGAAAACAUCCAGUCACUUUUGCUACCCUUAAUGGAAUGAAAAAGCUCUCACCCCAAUCCCCCAGUAAGGAGCCUUUUUCUCCCUUAUGAGAUUGGAGAGCUGAUAGAUAAAGAAUAAUGAACUCUAUCAGAAUCCAUAAUUAUCUCACACGACUUUAGUUUUAUAAACUUGUAGUGCUAUAAUUUUCUGUCUUUUCUUUGAACCAUUGUUUUGAAAGACUGCAGCGUGUUCCUUAUUUUCCCUGCACCAGGACUGCCAUCACCCAGCAUAUCACAUCCACUAUAUCACAUUAAUGGCUGCCAGCUCAACAAUUUGAUACUGAAACCCAUAUAUCAGCCGCUGAUAUAAUCCGUUGCCAUACAGUAUAUUUCAUUUGCAUUUGUCUUUUCCGUACAGAGCACUCUCUUUCAUCACUCUUCCAGAGUCCCCUGUUCCUUCCCCCUGUUUAUUCUCACUGGCACACAUCUAUACUUUCUUCCUGGCUGUGUUAUUAAUAAUCCUACAAAGACCUUUCUCCCCCUUUUACCUUUUCCCCUCUCAGGAACUGACAGAUCCUUACAAUCUGGCCUUUUAAUGCAAUAGAGUCGAGCCUGAAUGAGGAUGUUUCUUUGUUAUUUUCACAGACAUUAGCAUAGCUGCCUGAGCUGGGACUCUGGCACUUUCUCUAGAUAUGACUUAUGACAUCAAUCCAAUUUAUGGCCAUUUAAAGGAAUGCUGAACUGACUGUAAAUCAGCAGAAGCACAUAAAAUACUCAUGAGAACUGCUGAAAUCCAUCUGCAUCAGCCUCCAUCACCUGUAACGGCAGCCAAUCAGCAGCAAAGAGAUGGAGUUAUCGUGUGGGCAGAGGGAAGAGAUGGCAAUGGGAGUCUUACAUCAAGAGGAAACAACUCACCUGAUGACAGUAGACAGAACAGAUAUGAAUUUCAGUUUUCACCAUUCCAUCCUGCACUUCAGUGAACUGAACCCCCUUCAGCGUGGUAGUCUGGAGAUAUCAGAAGGGGCCUGGCUGGGGAGGCAGAUGUUAGCAGCCAAGUGGAACUGAAGAUUUCAGCAAGAAAAGAUAUUCUAAGGCAAUGGCAGGGAUCAAGGCUGGAGGGCCUGGGACAUGGCACAGAUUCAUGAGUUAUGAAGACCAAUCCUUCCCAAACUUCGAUGAUGAAAAGAAUAACUUUGGUACGUAAGCUUAGAAAUACAAGUUCCCAAGCCCUAACUCAGAUACUUUAAACCAGAAACUUCAGGAAAGGGGACUGGUGAAACUGAAUAUUUAACAGGAGCCCAUGUGAUUUUUGUUGUCAAAUGAUGUUUGGGAAAGACUGAGUUGGAUGGUUGCUUGGUCCCCUGACCUGCCCCUUUUGUCUCCCAUGUAGGACCUUAUAGAAGUUCUCUUAGAUUAGGAAGAAUCAUCAUCCACCAAGGUGAAAGUUCAAGGCCUAAAUAGACAAUCGGACCAUGUAACGUCUUUGAAGCAGAUCGAAAAUGUUUCCAAGAAAACUUGUAGAAUUUAAACCCAUAAUAUAUGGUUACCCCCUAGUUCUGACCUUGUGAACUUCGUGAACGUGUUGAGGACAUUGGCCUUUUAUGCCUCAGCUUUUCCCACCUAUAAAAUGGGAAUCAUCACAUAAUAGGUCCUUCAUGAAAGUGCGAGAUCAAAUAAGACAAAGAGCAAAGUAUUAUACAAAUGCUGGUUGUUAUUAUUAUCAUUCCUUUAUGGGGCUUCAGCUCUCCAAGGAUGACUUUCACAUUCAUCCUCAAUUAUUUUCUUCCUUGGUUGUCAUUUCAGUGACAUGCUGUUGUGCUUUUGUGUGCUACACAGACCCUCUUCUCUCUUUUAUUCUUUUCAUGGUUUCUUUUUUUUCAAUCCCAAGAGGAAUGCUUAGAGUUUCUAUACUCCAUCGCAUCCUCUUCUCCAAAGCUGAAAGCUGAUGCCAACCUAGCCAUUUUUUGUCCCCGGAGUAACAGGAGAAA